UCAGAGAGGACAAGACUACUGGAAAGGAAGAAAAAUCAGGAAGGCCCAACUCACGUUGUUUGCAGCCCGGCCAGAAACGGAGCGGUAUUUCCCGGGAAUCAUGGCAGGAAACAGUCCAGGAUGUUCGAUCCUCCUUCGAGGACCCGCCUCAACUCUGCCCGCGGGAAGUUUGAUUCCUUCUACCUGCGGGUGUUUUCUUGGAAAAAUACCCAGAAUCUUCCCAUUUAGUUUGGCACUUCCACUGAGCCGAAGCAAGGAAGGAUAAAGCCUGACCUGGAGACAAUGAAGGAGAAGCCUGCUUUCCUGAGGCCACUGCAGAGGGACCGAGUGCGCUUGACAUAGGAGUCCCUACCGACAGCUCCAAGACUGUCGACAUGUCAAAAAAUGACUGAGAAAGAAAGCUGUGAAGCUACUACUGAAGACAAGUCUUGCUAAUAAUCCCUUCCCUUACCUUAGCUUCUUUUGAUUGAUACUUGCUGCCUUCAUGUUCAUGUUUCUGGCGAGCUAAACUUCCCGUCAUCUCCUUGCUGCAUACCUUUCUAACCCCCAAUAAACACUGAUUACAUUUA